GAAUACAGUACAAACAAAUGGAAAGCAAGAAAGAAACAAAGAAGAAAAACCAAAAAAAAAAAAGA
rnacentral:ribozyme from 21 species